UACCUGACUAUUAAUUAUCCAAAAUGGCUUAGCAAAGCAAGACUGGAUGCAAAGAGAAAUGCUGGUGUCUCAGAACUUGACGAGACUUGCAAAGAUUUCCCUCCAACAUACAUUACAAAAGAAAAAUGGGGACCAAUGAUGGACAAGUUUUUGGCACCAGAGUUCGUAAAAAAAUCAAAAAAAAGAAUUCAGCAAAUCGAACUAAAAACGACGAUUAUUUGGUGUACAAGGGUGGAUCGGCUUCUUUU
rnacentral:lncRNA from 1 species